rnacentral:rRNA from 1 species
UACGAAGGGGGCUAGCGUUGCUCGGAAUCACUGGGCGUAAAGCGCACGUAGGCGGAUUGCUAAGUCAGGGGUGAAAUCCUGGAGCUCAACUCCAGAACUGCCUUUGAUACUGGCGACCUUGAGUCCGGGAGAGGUGAGUGGAACUGCGAGUGUAGAGGUGAAAUCGUAGAUAUUCGCAAGAACACCAGUGGCGAAGGCGGCUCACUGGCCCGGUACUGACGCUGAGGUGCGAAAGCGUGGGGAGCAA